GGCUCGGUGGCAUAAUGGUAACGCACUCCAUGAUGAUCUAGUGCAUUUUCAUAUUGAUUGACGGAAAGUCCAGAGUUCGAUUCUCCGUUGAGCCA